rnacentral:tRNA from 2 species
GCCCCCGUAGCUCAGCUGGAUAGAGCACUGGUCUCCGGAGCCAGGUGCACAGGUUCGAGUCCUGUCGGGGGUA